UCCUCUUUCUCUCUCUCUCUCUAGGGUUUUGUUUUUCAUCGAUUGCACGAAAAAUUCCCCAAUUGGUCGUAUCUAUUCGAUCGAAAUGGAAUAUGGAGGCGGAGAUUUGGAAACGAAAAUUGACAUGUUGCUGAAUGUGGAGAAGCAGAUGAGGCAAGUGGGUGAUGUUGCAGGUACGAGGAAGGCCGUCACACCUCUUGCAAUUCUUAUUCUCACACCUCAAACAAUACCCCUCAGUUUCUCCCUCCAAGAAAGCCAAAGCCGCGAAGGAGAGACGCCGCUGUUCAGUCCUCCCACCGCCAAAAUACCCUCACCCAACCCCACCAUCAAACCAUUUCCCUUUUCCUCUGUUCACUUCUUUGAGGAAAAAGUUUAAAGAAAGCAGGUGAAGUUCAUGGUGGUAUGGCCGACUCAAGGGUUCGAAUGUGAUGGUACGGCAGCACCCGCGGGAGAAGCAGCUGAGGAUGUGGGUACAAAUCCAAGAAAGGAAAACCCCGCUGGAAAAAACCCUUAAACCACCGUUUUCUCCCCAUCAUCAAACCCCACCCACACUCACAUGGUGAAACCCUCUCACCUUCAUUUCUUUUUUCUUGUGUUCAUUUCUCACCCAAAAAACAGAGUAAAGAAAACCAAGAAAAGCAGGGGGGAGAGACAGAGCGAGAAGGAGGCCUCAAAUUAUGGUAUUGCGAAAUGUUACUGCUGUUUGAACAAUCCUUCUUGGCCCAAUA